rnacentral:rRNA from 1 species
UACGUAGGGUGCAAGCGUUGUCCGGAAUUAUUGGGCGUAAAGAGCUCGUAGGCGGUUUGUCGCGUCUGCUGUGAAAACUGGGGGCUCAACCUCCAGCCUGCAGUGGGUACGGGCAAACUAGAGUGCGGUAGGGGAGAUUGGAAUUCCUGGUGUAGCGGUGGAAUGCGCAGAUAUCAGGAGGAACACCGAUGGCGAAGGCAGAUCUCUGGGCCGUAACUGACGCUGAGGAGCGAAAGCGUGGGGAGCGAACAGG